CGUUUCCAAAACACUUUAAAUUUUGAAAUUUGGUCAAGAAUUGACAUUUCUGGAGCAUUUUGAAGCUCCCAUAAGCUUAACGUUAAUGGUCUAUUAAUUUGGAAUGAACCAUAGUCCAACGACAAAUUGGGAAAGGAAAAUAUUUUGUCCCGGACAGUGAACAUUUAUUUACAAAUAUGAGAAUCUGAAAGAAUAAUUUACCCUUGGUAUUUCCUUCUUCUCCGUUCAAAUCCUCUUUUCACCUGGAUCGCCACCUCAUCCGCAACCUGUUGCUUGGGCAACGGCAGCGGAAAGUAAUCCUGUCGUCUUCCUAGGUAUGGACGAUAGUUAGGAGCGGAUUCAUAUUUUAUUGUGUAAAUCCAUCACUCCGCUUUUGUAUAAGAUGAGGACACGGGUGACAUGCGAAUCACGUUGUUUGGAAUUUGGGCUUAGGGUGAGUUGUCAUCUUGUCAUUAUAAUGCGGGACAAGAUUUGUGAUAAAAAAUUUAAUGCAAAAUAGUUUGUCUAAAGACAUUGCACGACCACUACUCAUUGGUAAGAUGUGCUUUAUUUUACUAUUUCUUAUGUCAUUAUCAUGCAUGUUACUAUCACUAGGAUUUGUUACACAUUUAUGUUUUCUAUGCGUCAUACCUUCCUCUAUCCCAGGUAAAUAUGAAUCAUCUUGAAGGAUACCCUAUCUUCCUGGUCAUUCCAGGAGAGGCAGUCUCAACCCGGACAGCAUCAAGAUAACAAGGGGAAGGGAUUUAGUUCUCUCCGGAUUGUUGCAAAUCAUUAGAUAUUUCUCUGUCUCACUCCAAUAUGAUCUGACUUCCUAAAUGGCCAGAAUUCUGGAUUCCUCGGAGACAUUUCCCUCCACAAAUUUACCAGAUGAAGAAUCCUCGGUAGUCUCUUUUGGAAUGUUUCUGUACAACUUUUUCUGCGAUUACAAUCUUGAGCCAUGGCUUCUUCUAUUUCUCUUCUUGGCCAAUAUGUUCCUGAGUUUUUGGCUCCCAACCCAGGUGAACCAUCACAAAAAUAUCCUAGUCCGAGCGCCUCUUAAGAAGAAGAGGAUGGAAGUGAAGAAAAAGAAGAGUAGAUCAAAGAAGAAGAACAGGCAAUACUAAUCGGCUCCAUGCGUAUGUACGCUAAACAACACGAUCCCAAUAAUGUUACUUUGCAAUCAACACAGAUUUCCUAAUAUCCGGCUUACAUUAUUUGAGAUUAAUGCGGCAUCGCUGACUCAAAACUGCAAUUCCGCAUUCAAUUCGGCAAUACGGCACGCAAUUCGGCAAUUCGGCAUUACAAAACGGCAAUUCGGCAAUUCGGCAAAGUUUUGAAAGUACAUACACUUUUCUGAUUUUUAUAUAUUCCAGAUUCAAUAUCUAGAUGAAUACUUUCGUCAACAAAUUUUUGAAUUUCCUUGGCAUAUCCAAGGCUACCGGUUAUAAUAGGAAAAUAUUUCCUGAUUAGGAGCUAAUGUUUUGUUUUUUACGCAACCUAAUAGCCAAGUUUCCCUUCCAAACUUGCCAUUAUUUUCCUGGUUAUCUCUACUGCAGAAAAUCCGUGAUAUUUAAUUACGGAAAAUUAUAAGUGAGUAGUGAUUUUCCCACCGUGAAGUAGCACGCGUUACAAAUUUAUACCCGAUCCCGUUAUUCUGUAGUUUUGAUACGGAGGAAAGUAACACAGUAUAAGCGUAAAAAUUAAUGAAUAAAAUAUUGACAAUAAUUUAGUAACUAAGGUCUGUAUAUUUUAACCAGAUCAAAUUUUGCUUCAAUAAUUCUGAAAAGCUAAAUGCUGCCCGUAAUGUUAGUCAGACACGUAUACCACCCAACCUUAUUCCAAGAACUUCAUCCUGUUUAAAUACACCGACGAUAGUUUAUCAUUAAAUAGUAUGAUUUAGUAAUAAUUUAAACACAAGUACAUAUACAAUAUGAAAUUAAACUCAUUAAAAAUACUGGCACCCUGCCAUACCUAAAAAAUUUUUUUAUAUCGUAGCCGGACAAAUUAAUUCUGUACAAUUUCACCUUAAUAAUUUGCUUCAUUUGAAUUAAAUUAAUUUUGCAACUGCCAUACUGAUUCGGUCAUGUUAAUCGGAAACUUUAGAUUAGAAAAUUAACUGGACUCCCUAUUUAAUCUUUUGCCUUGAAAUUAAUCCUGUGUAAAACUUUGUAUAACAUCACGAAACAUCCAGAAAAAUCAAGAUUCUGUAUUUAUACACGACGAUGUAAUAACACAUUGGGUAAUGUAUUAAUUUGUUGAACAUAUAAUGUCUAAAUAUUUAAUGUCAUGCCUUAAGUUUGAAUCCAAUUAAGUUUAAUAAUAAAUGAGGUCUUCAAAAACAGACCGAAACAAAAAACUUCUCAAACACUAUGAAUUGCUGAAAUUACAUAACCUCACCUUGUCGACCAUAUCUGCAUCACUAUGCCGAUUUUAUGAAAAAGAUUUUAAAACUUAGUACGCACAAUUUCUACGAUUUAGUUUUCAAAACCGUUCCAUAUAAUUGAUAUUCGCUCAAUUUUAAGUUUAGUAUGCACCUAAUUAAAUACGUAUAUGGGAACGAAAAAUUCUUUUCAACUCGAUAAUUUUUUAACGGAUAAAAUUUCUUGUACUAUCAAUCUUGAGUCUGGCUAGAAAAAAGCUUACAUAUCGUUGAAUGUGCACUUUUUCUGAACUAUGGUUGAUAUACCAAAACGAAAAUCAAUAAUUUAACAACCCUUACCUGGCGAAUCAUUUAAAUUGCGCUCUGUGCCACCUAACCCCUCAGCAAGAAUGGAUUCUCGUUUUAA